rnacentral:rRNA from 1 species
GACGGGGGAUGCAAGCGUUAUCCGGAAUCACUGGGCGUAAAGCGUCUGUAGGUGGUGAUGCAAGUCACUGGUGCAAAACUCUGACUCAACCGGAGGAAAGCCAGUGAAACUGCAUGACUAGAGUGUGGGAGAGGUAGAAGGAAUUCCCUGAGUAGAGGUGAAAUGCGUAGAUACAGGGAAGAACACCGGAGGCGAAAGCGUUCUACUGGAACACAACUGACGCUGAGAGGCGAAAGCUAGGGGUGCGAAUGGG